rnacentral:rRNA from 1 species
AGAGUUUGAUUAUGGCUCAGGAUGAACGCUGGCGGCGUGCUUAACACAUUCAAGUCGAACGGACUUUGAGGGGCUUGCUCUUCAAAGUUAGUGGCGGACGGGUGAGUAACGCGUGAGCAACCUGCCUUUCUCCGGGGGAUAACAUUGGGAAACCGGUGCUAAUACCGCAUAACGUACAGAGAUCACAUGGUCAUUGUACCAAAGAUUUAUCGGGGAAAGAUGGGCUCGCGUCUGAUUAGAUAGUUGGUGGGGUAACGGCCUACCAAGUCGACGAUCAGUAGCCGGACUGAGAGGUCGAACGGCCACAUUGGAACUGAGAUACGGUCCAGACUCCUACGGGAGGCAGCAGUGGGGAAUAUUGGGCAAUGGGCGAAAGCCUGACCCAGCGACGCCGCGUGAAGGAAGAAGGUCUUCGGAUUGUAAACUUCUGUUGACAGGGAAGAAGAAAGCGACGGUACCUGUUCAGAAAGCCACGGCUAACUACGUGCCAGCCGCCGC